rnacentral:rRNA from 1 species
AUGGGGGACUUCGUGGGGCACGCACUGCCGGGCUCGCUGCUGCUGGCGGUGGGCCUGUGGCGGGUGUGGGCGUCCAUCGCACGCUUCGCCGCCGACCCGCCGGCGUUCCGCAUCCGUGCCUGGAGCCCCUUCUCAGCGGGGCCGCGGCUCCUGGAGCUGUACGUGGUGACCGGGGGCGCCUUCCUGGACAUGUGCAUGGAGCUCUUCUACUCCAACCCGCUCCGCGUCCUCACCGGCCGCGGGGUCGACCCGGCGCACCUCAACGGCCUCGAGCACGCCGGCAUGCUGCUCAUGUUCUUCCUCUUCGGCGCGCUCGCCCUCCUCUCCCACACGACGAGGUACCUGCCGCUGUCGGACACCGCACUGGGCCUGGUGUUUGCAACCGCUUUCACGUCGGAGUUCCUGCUCUUCUACUUCCACUCCACCACCCACGUUGGCUUGGAGGCCUACUACCACCGCCUCCUCCUCCUCCUCAUCGGCCUCUGUAUCGCAGCCAUUGUCCUCGGUGCGCUCCUGCCAACCAGCUUCGCUGCCGACCUAGGCACCGGCGCCCUCAUCGCGGUCCAGGGUAUGUGGUUCUUCCAGACUGGGUUCACUCUCUACGGUCCUACGCUCCCCGCUGGUUGUGCCCGCAGCUUCGCCGCCCCUGGCGCCGACGCCCACGUCGAGUGCCCCGACGGCGCCGUGCUGGAGCGUGCCGAGCAGCUGGCAAACUUGCAGCUAUUCGGACUCGUGUUCCUUGUGUUUGUGUAUGUGCUCGGGUGCUACAGCGUCGCCACGGCGAGGUUUGGGCACCCGGACCUGACAACGACGACGAACGACAAGCACGUCGGGGAUAUUGAAUGCCGCCGCUGA